CCUACGGGAGGCAGCAGUGGGGAAUAUUGCGCAAUGGGCGAAAGCCUGACGCAGCGACGCCGCGUGAGGGAUGAAGGCCUUCGGGUUGUAAACCUCUUUCAGCAGGGACGAAGCGAGAGUGACGGUACCUGCAGAAGAAGCACCGGCCAACUACGUGCCAGCAGCCGCGGUAAUACGUAGGGUGCAAGCGUUGUCCGGAAUUAUUGGGCGUAAAGAGCUCGUAGGCGGUCUGUCGCGUCGGCUGUGAAAACUCGGGGCUCAACCCCGAGCCUGCAGUCGAUACGGGCAGACUAGAGUGCUGUAGGGGAGACUGGAAUUCCUGGUGUAGCGGUGAAAUGCGCAGAUAUCAGGAGGAACACCGGUGGCGAAGGCGGGUCUCUGGGCAGUAACUGACGCUGAGGAGCGAAAGCGUGGGGAGCGAACAGGAUUAGAUACCCUGGUAGUCCACGCCGUAAACGGUGGGUGCUAGGUGUGAGCGGUAUUCCACGCCGUUCGUGCCGCAGCUAACGCAUUAAGCACCCCGCCUGGGGAGUACGGCCGCAAGGCUAAAACUCAAAGGAAUUGACGGGGGCCCGCACAAGCAGCGGAGCAUGUGGCUUAAUUCGACGCAACGCGAAGAACCUUAC
rnacentral:rRNA from 1 species